rnacentral:piRNA from 1 species
UAAGAUCAGGUCCUGAGUUUAAACGCACUUU